CCUGCCACGAGAGGCAUCGCAGGCGUGACUAAUGUGUCACAUUUGUCAGUAGGUGGCAGAGAGGAGAAAGCCUAUAUUUAUAUUCAGUGAUCUGACUUAUGAACAUCUGAAUGAUUAGUACACUAACAUU